rnacentral:piRNA from 1 species
GCAGGAGAGGGAGAAGGAACUGA